AUCCCAUGUUGAGGACAUUUUCUCAACAAUUCCCUAUUUCAGUUCCUAUGCUUCGUAUAUAGUUUUAGACUACAUCAGUCUGAAAGAAGAUAUGUUACUUUUGAGCUU